rnacentral:snoRNA from 1 species
AAGAUCAUACUUUUAGGGAUCAUUUCUAUAGUGUGCAUCUUGAAAACGUCAUCAAAUUAUGAAAAAUCCUUAACUACGAUGAUGAGUUGUAG